rnacentral:rRNA from 1 species
GUCGAACGAAGCACAGAUGUAGAAUUUCUUCGGAAAGGAAGCGCCUGUGACUGAGUGGCGGACGGGUGAGUAACGCGUGGGCAACCUGCCCCAUACCGGGGGACAACAGCUGGAAACGGCUGCUAAUACCGCAUACGUUUUCGGUGCCGCAUGGCGCCGAAAAGAAAACUCCGGUGGUAUGGGAUGGGCCCGCGUCUGAUUAGCUAGUUGGGAGGGUAACGGCCUACCAAGGCGACGAUCAGUAGCCGGCCUGAGAGGGCGACCGGCCACAUUGGGACUGAGACACGGCCCACACUCCUGCGGGAGGCAGCCGUGGGGAAUAUUGCCCCAUGGGGGGAACCCUGAUGCCGCGACGCCGCGUGAGCGAAGAAGUACCCCGCCCCCCAAAGCUCUAUCAGCAGGGAACCCCGUCCCCGCACAACGACUUUGAAGCCCCGGCUAACGGGCGUGCCAACAGCCGCGGUAAUACGUAGGGGGCAAGCGUUAUCCGGAUUCACUGGGCGUAAAGGGAGCGCAGGCGGCGCGGCAAGUCUGAUGUGAAAGCCCGGGGCUCAACCCCGGGUCUGCCUCCGAAACUGUCGAGCUGGAGUGUCGGAGGGGUACGCGGAAUUCCUAGUGUAGCGGUGAAAUGCGU